AAAUUUUCUGCUCCAUAUUUAAACAGUGAGCCAGUUUAUAGACGUUCAUCUGAUGACUAGAGGAAGAGAAAAGAACAGCAGCAGUUCAAACUGGCUUGUAAAAUACGGCUGCUACCUUCAUCAUGUUCUCUUCGUUUUCAGUGUUGCUUCUGGCAAUGGUAUCCUGUGUUAAUUCAAAUGACCUCACUCAGCCUGAGUUCAUGACUGUUCGACCUGGUGACACUCUGACUAUCAACUGUAAAGUCUCAUAUUCAGUUACUAGUUAUAGUACAGGCUGGAUUCGUCAGCCUGCAGGAGAAGCUCUGGAGUGGAUUGGAGUGAUCUACUAUGAUGGGGACUUAGCCUACAAGGAUUCACUGAAAAACAAGUUCAGUAUCACCAGAGACACCUCCAGUAACACAAUCACAUUGAAGGGGAAUAAUAUACAAGCUCAAACACAGCUGUGUAUUAUUGUGCCAGAGAAUCACAGUGACACACAUUAA